UUGGGCAAGUCUGGUGCCAGCAGCCGCGGUAAUUCCAGCUCUAAUAGCGUAUAUUAAAGUUGUUGCAGUUAAAAAGCUCGUAGUUGAAUUUCGGGGUUAGUAGGUUGGUCAUGCCUCUGGUAUGUACUGGUCUCACUGAUUCCUCCUUCCUGAUGAACCUUAAUGCCAUUAAUUUGGUGUUUUGGGGAAUUUGGACUGUUACUUUGAAAAAAUUAGAGUGUUUAAAGCAAGCUAACGCUUGAAUACAUUAGCAUGGAAUAAUGAAAUAGGACGUUCGAUCCUAUUUUGUUGGUUUCUAGGAUUGACGUAAUGAUUAAUAGGGAUAGUUGGGGGCAUUAGUAUUCAAUUGUCAGAGGUGAAAUUCUUGGAUUUAUUGAAGACUAACUACUGCGAAAGCAUUUGCCAAGGAUGUUUUCAUUAAUCAAGAACGAAAGUUAGGGGAUCGAAGACGAUCAGAUACCGUCGUAGUCUUAACCAUAAACUAUGCCGACUAGGGAUCGGAUGAUGUUAAUUUUUUAAUGACUCAUUCGGCGCCUUACGGGAAAC
rnacentral:rRNA from 1 species